GUUGACCUCGGAUCAGGUAGGAAUACCCCGGUUC
rnacentral:rRNA from 1 species